rnacentral:rRNA from 1 species
CCAAUAGCGUAUAUUAAAGUUGUUGCAGCUAAAAAGCUCGUAGUUGAAUUUCGGGGUUAGUAAGUUGGUCGUGCCUAUGGUAUGUACUGGCUUUACUGAUUCCUCCUUCUUGAAGAACUGUAAUGUCAUUAAUUUGGUGUUGCAGGGAAACAAGACUGUUACUUUGAAAAAAUUAGAGUGUUUAAAGCAGGCUAACGCUUGAAUACAUUAGCAUGGAAUAAUGAAAUAGGACGUUUGAUCCUAUUUUGUUGGUUUCUAGGAUUGACGUAAUGAUUAAUAGGGAUAGUUGGGGGCAUUAGUAUUCAAUUGUCAGAGGUGAAAUUCUUGGAUUUAUUGAAGACUAACUACUGCGAAAGCAUUUGCCAAGGAUGUUUUCAUUAAUCAAGAACGAAAGUUAGGGGAUCGAAGACGAUCAGAUACCGUCGUAGUCUUAACCAUAAACUAUGCCGACUAGGGAUCGGAUGAUGUUAUUUUUAAUGACUCAUUCGGCGCCUUACG